rnacentral:tRNA from 1 species
ACCGAGGUGGUGAAAUUAGGUAAACACGCUAUCUUGAGAAGGUAGUGCUAUAUCAUAUAGCUUAUGGGUUCAAAUCCCAUCCUCGGUA